GACGAACGCUGGCGGCGUGCCUAAUACAUGCAAGUCGAGCGGACAGAUGGGAGCUUGCUCCCUGAUGUUAGCGGCGGACGGGUGAGUAACACGUGGGUAACCUGCCUGUAAGACUGGGAUAACUCCGGGAAACCGGGGCUAAUACCGGAUGGUUGUUUGAACCGCAUGGUUCAAACAUAAAAGGUGGCUUCGGCUACCACUUACAGAUGGACCCGCGGCGCAUUAGCUAGUUGGUGAGGUAACGGCUCACCAAGGCAACGAUGCGUAGCCGACCUGAGAGGGUGAUCGGCCACACUGGGACUGAGACACGGCCCAGACUCCUACGGGAGGCAGCAGUAGGGAAUCUUCCGCAAUGGACGAAAGUCUGACGGAGCAACGCCGCGUGAGUGAUGAAGGUUUUCGGAUCGUAAAGCUCUGUUGUUAGGGAAGAACAAGUACCGUUCGAAUAGGGCGGUACCUUGACGGUACCUAACCAGAAAGCCACGGCUAACUACGUGCCAGCAGCCGCGGUAAUACGUAGGUGGCAAGCGUUGUCCGGAAUUAUUGGGCGUAAAGGGCUCGCAGGCGGUUUCUUAAGUCUGAUGUGAAAGCCCCCGGCUCAACCGGGGAGGGUCAUUGGAAACUGGGGAACUUGAGUGCAGAAGAGGAGAGUGGAAUUCCACGUGUAGCGGUGAAAUGCGUAGAGAUGUGGAGGAACACCAGUGGCGAAGGCGACUCUCUGGUCUGUAACUGACGCUGAGGAGCGAAAGCGUGGGGAGCGAACAGGAUUAGAUACCCUGGUAGUCCA
rnacentral:rRNA from 1 species